UACGUAGGGUGCGAGCGUUAAUCGGAAUUACUGGGCGUAAAGCGUGCGCAGGCGGUUGGUUAAGUCUGAUGUGAAAGCCCCGGGCUCAACCUGGGAAUGGCAUUGGAAACUGGCUGGCUAGAGUGUGGCAGAGGGGGGUGGAAUUCCGCGUGUAGCAGUGAAAUGCGUAGAGAUGCGGAGGAACACCGAUGGCGAAGGCAGCCCCCCUGGGCUAGCACUGACGCUCAGGCACGAAAGCGUGGGGAGCAAACAGG
rnacentral:rRNA from 1 species